AGGAUGAACGCUGGCGGCGUGCUUAACACAUGCAAGUCGAACGGUGAAGUGAGGAGCUUGCUCCUUGCGGAUCAGUGGCGAACGGGUGAGUAACACGUGAGUAACCUGCCCUUGACUCUGGGAUAAGCGUUGGAAACGACGUCUAAUACCGGAUACGACCUCCGAAGGCAUCUUCUGGAGGUGGAAAGAAUUUCGGUCAAGGAUGGACUCGCGCCUAUCAGCUAGUUGGUGAGGUAAUGGCCCACCAAGGCGACGACGGGUA
rnacentral:rRNA from 1 species